GGCAGAUCUUGGGUGAUGCACCCCGGAAUCGGGCUCCCUCCUCUCUAGUUCUGGAGUGCUUCACAGGAGAACCGCC
rfam:Myotis lucifugus cont2.32205, whole genome shotgun sequence.